rnacentral:rRNA from 1 species
ACGAACGCUGGCGGCACGCUUAACACAUGCAAGUCGAACGAGAGAAGAGAAGCUUGCUUUUCUGAUCUAGUGGCGGACGGGUGAGUAACACGUGAGCAAUCUGCCUUUCAGAGGGGGAUACCGAUUGGAAACGAUCGUUAAUACCGCAUAAUAUAAUUGAACCGCAUGAUUUGAUUAUCAAAGAUUUAUCGCUGAAAGAUGAGCUCGCGUCUGAUUAGCUAGUUGGUAAGGUAACGGCUUACCAAGGCGACGAUCAGUAGCCGGACUGAGAGGUUGAUCGGCCACAUUGGGACUGAGACACGGCCCAGACUCCUACGGGAGGCAGCAGUGGGGAAUAUUGCACAAUGGAGGAAACUCUGAUGCAGCGAUGCCGCGUGAGGGAAGAAGGUUUUAGGAUUGUAAACCUCUGUCUUCAGGGACGAAAAAAGACGGUACCUGAGGAGGAAGCUCCGGCUAACUACGUGCCAGCAGCCGCGGUAAUACGUAGGGAGCGAGCGUUGUCCGGAAUUACUGGGUGUAAAGGGAGCGUAGGCGGGAUCGCAAGUCAGAUGUGAAAACUAUGGGCUUAACCCAUAAACUGCAUUUGAAACUGUGGUUCUUGAGUGAAGUAGAGGUAAGCGGAAUUCCUAGUGUAGCGGUGAAAUGCGUAGAUAUUAGGAGGAACAUCAGUGGCGAAGGCGGCUUACUGGGCUUUAACUGACGCUGAGGCUCGAAAGCGUGGGGAGCAAACAGGAUUAGAUACCCUGGUAGUCCACGCCGUAAACGAUGAUUACUAGGUGUGGGGGGUCUGACCCCUUCCGUGCCGGAGUUAACACAAUAAGUAAUCCACCUGGGGAGUACGACCGCAAGGUUGAAACUCAAAGGAAUUGACGGGGGCCCGCACAAGCAGUGGAGUAUGUGGAUUAAUUCGAAGCAACGCGAAGAACCUUACCAGGUCUUGACAUCGUAUGCAUAGCUCAGAGAUGAGUGAAAUCUCUUCGGAGACAUAUAGACAGGUGGUGCAUGGUUGUCGUCAGCUCGUGUCGUGAGAUGUUGGGUUAAGUCCCGCAACGAGCGCAACCCUUACUGUUAGUUGCUACGCAAGAGCACUCUAGCAGGACUGCCGUUGACAAAACGGAGGAAGGUGGGGAUGACGUCAAAUCAUCAUGCCCCUUAUGACCUGGGCCUCACACGUACUACAAUGGCUGUAAACAGAGGGAUGCAAAGCCGCGAGGUGGAGCGAACCCCUAAAAGCAGUCUUAGUUCGGAUUGUAGGCUGCAACCCGCCUACAUGAAGUCGGAAUUGCUAGUAAUCGCAGAUCAGCAUGCUGCGGUGAAUACGUUCCCGGGCCUUGUACACACCGCCCGUCACGCCAUGGGAGUCGGUAACACCCGAAGCCUGUAGUCUAACCGCAAGGAGGACGCAGUCGAAGGUGGGAUUGAUGACUGGGGUG